UACGUAGGGUGCAAGCGUUGUCCGGAAUUAUUGGGCGUAAAGCGCGUGUAGGCGGCUCGGUAAGUCUGCUGUGAAAGUCCAGGGCUCAACCCUGGAAUGCCGGUGGAUACUGUCGAGCUCGAGUCCGGAAGAGGCGAGUGGAAUUCCUGGUGUAGCGGUGAAAUGCGCAGAUAUCAGGAGGAACACCAAUGGCGAAGGCAGCUCGCUGGGACGGUAACUGACGCUGAGACGCGAAAGCGUGGGGAGCAAACAGG
rnacentral:rRNA from 1 species